CGAGGAAGGGUCCGGCGGACGCCCCCGGGGGCGCAGGGCCGGACGGGCGACGGGGGGCGCAGGAAGGUUCGGGGGGCGCGGGGUGGUUGGCACGUUCUGGGACGUGUUCCUGGCCCAAGCAACUGCCCUGCCCAAGCUGAGGCUGCAAUCAACCAACACCCAUACCUGGAAAAUGGGGACGUGUUAAUAACCAGCACAAAACCUGCUCUAACACUGCCACGCCUGACAUCCUGAAUAACACACUCGAGUCCUGUGUAUCGGUGUCACCUGAACACCAUGAACCUAAACUGAGGUGAGGCAGCAGGGAAGACAAAUGCCCUGAUGUUACCUGCAGUGCUCCAUGCCACAUCUCCUUUCUGGGGGGUCCCAAGCAGUCAGGAACCUGAGCGAUACUUUGGGUGUCUGCUGCUGCUGGAAACAGUACAGCUUGCCUGCUAAGGGAGUGAGUUAAGCAGGUUUAAGAUUGGAUGUGUUUUCCUGAGAAACUCUAAAUACAAAUAGUAACAACAGCUGCAGAAAACAGCACAUACCAGAAAUGAACGACAAUACUCCAGAAGUUAAAAAAAAAAAUUAUAUUGUAAGUACAGUACAAAAAAGUCUGUGUAGAAUUGUAAUGUAAUCUGGACCAAACAGCAAAGAAAUAACAAAAAUAUAAAAACUGCUAAGUCUUGACAAAGUUUCCCUAUAGUACCAAAUACCACAAGAUACAGAUUAUACAAAGUGUACAAAUUUUAAUAAAAAUACAAUACACCAGGGUCGUGCGUGUUUUUCACUCCUCAAGAGUUUUCUGUUCUACAGAGGACAAAGCUAAAGCUGAUCCCCUUCUGUUUCUUCAGAAGCAGAUCUACCCCUUCACCACAAUGCUCUCAACUGUAAAGGGCUGGAAAGAGCCGGUUAUUUUGUGCUGCUCACAACAGCAGAUGCUUUAAUAUGGGCCAGGACAUGAAGCACGACUGGACUGCCUCUCUCCUGGGCCCUGUCUAUUUCCAGGCUCAUUGGGAUUUGUCCUAAGCUGUUAAAACAUGUGUUCUGGCCUGGUGGUCUGAGAACCUUCUGCACCUCCCCUGCUGAGAAAACCCCUCACUGCACUGAGAAAAGAUCCGUAGGAGACAGACUACCUUGUACAGGCACAUCUGUGGAAUACGUGGCAAAGAGGCAUGGGGAGAAAAGCCCUCCUCCACACCCCAAGAUUUAAUUUACUUCUGAUUUGUGGCUCAGCCACAGUGAGGGACAGGUUACUUUCAACUGUCCUAAAAAACAGAAACUAGACUUACUUGGAAGUAAAAAAUGCCUCUUCUGUAAUUUUAAAACUUUUCUGUUACAGAGCUGAUAAGGCCUGAGUCGAAUGAUAUUUCAGUUGUUCUGCCUACCUUCACAAGAUAGCCUGUUUCUACAAACAUUUAGAAUCUUCCUGGUGUUUCCUUACACAAUGCCCAUGCUUACUACUAUACACAGAGCUGAUUCCUGCAGGAAAUGAGGUGAGGGAAACUUGAUUCACAUUUUUCACACACUGUUGGCUGAGGGAGGAAUUUUUGCUUUUAAAUUAUGUAUAUAUAUAUAAAUAUAUACACACACACACAGAAAUAUACAGGAUAAAUUAAAAUCUGUUACAGAUAUUGGUAAAAGUUAAAUACAUGUGAUAUGAACACCACAUACACAUACAUACACACAGACAAAAAGCCUAAACAGGAAUCAAGUGUUCUCCUGCGGCUCCUCUUCCAGAGGAGCAGAAAACCAAACUCCAAGUAUGUGGCUGGAAGGAAGGGAAACUGCCCCAAUCAACCCACAUGUGCCUUACGUGGCCGUAACUGCUUCAAACUGGCCACUGGCUACUGCCUUGCAGCAGCACCACAGCUCCUGCAACAGUGCUGGUGAGAGGGAUGGGGGAUGAGCCAUUUCACAAAACAGGUGCAAGACAGGCAGAAACAAUCCAAGUUUGUCCCAUCUGCUUCUCUACUCCUUUCCAUCAAAGCAGACUGACCAUGCCGUGGAAGAAUCAGCAGGAGGUUCAUUCUCUCAAGCCAACACAAUGGGUUGAUACAUUGUGCUAAUGAUGAUUUGAGUAUGAGUCCACAGAAAAAAAUAAAAAUUCUUGUCAUCUUCUACUUCACUUCAAAUGCCAGCUACCAGACCAGCCAGCCAACACUGACAACUUUCAGUUAUUACUGACUGAGGAGUAAGGGCUGGAGAAAGUGACCAAAAGAAAGAGGCAAAAACCUAUCCAGCUUUCCGCUCAAGAAGUGGGUUUUAAACAAAAAAAAAGUUACAAAUAGGGCUGGUGAAGAAUUCAGUUCUAUUCCUUGGUCCAAAAUAUAUUAUCAUCUCUACCUGCCCAUAGAAUAUCAGAAUACUUUAGUUUAGGCAGGGAUAUCAGGAGAUCAUCUGGUCCAUCUCUCUGCUUAAAACAAGUCCAACUACAGCAGGCUGCUCAUUCAGUUUUUGAAUAUCAUCAAGGAAGGAGACUCAUGAACCCCUCUGGGCCACCUGUUCCAAUAACCCCUCUCAUGGUGACAGCUUUCUUCUUUAUAUCAAGAAGUCCAUUCUCUGUUUGCUUCCCCCACUAAAUCUGAAUUUAAGGCGAGUAUCUCAAAAGCUUUCUGAAUUCUUCAUACAAAAUACUUUCAGACUGGAGGACAUUUCACCCAUCAACACAAAACGGUUUUCUCAGCAUAACUUCACAACUUUUCAUAAAAUAGAAAUCAAAUAGUUACAAUCCUAUGUAUAUACUAUACAUAUACAAAACUUUAAAAGCCUCCACACGGAGCCCUUUGGGAGCGUCGGUGUAGUGCAUGUACACAAGUCAGUUACACAGAGGUUGAGUACAUCCCAGGAUCCUUUCUCAUCAAAGUCCAGGCAUGAUGUAGGCAAUGUUGUCUAGUGUGUUCGAC